GGGAGGUUAUGGCUCAAAAUGUUUCAGAAUUAGGGGCAAAAAAGGGGAAAAACUAGGUAUUUCUGGUCAAUGAACAAUUAAGACAAAUUAAGAGCAGUGUAAGCAAGGUAAUUCUAAGUUCAGAUUUACCUCCCUUAUACUUCUUGUAUAUUAUGUAUAAAGAAAUGUCAGGUUUUGGACUAAUUUAAAAAAAAAAAAGGGGGGUGGUAGUUGUUUUCAAUAUUUUUUUCUUCAAAUUUCUCAAUUUCCAAAUUUUUGAAAAGUCAAAAUAAGAAAUCUUUAAUUGCACAAUAUUGCACAAUAGAUUUAUAAGAUCUUGACAUUUGUUUUGUGUCAGAAAAGCAUAUUAUGUCAAAAAUUUGAUUGCAAUCCAAAUUCAGAGCUGUAUCAAGCUUGAAUGUUGUGUCCAUACUUGCCCCAACUGUUCAGGGUCCGAUUUCUGCAGUCGUAUAAAGCUGCGCCCUGCAGAACACCUAGUUGUCCUUUGUUCAGAAAUCUCAUUUAUUAUACCCCCGCUUUAAAAAACGGGGGUUAUACUGUUUUAUUAUACCCCCGCUUUAAAAAAGGGGGGGUAUACUGUUUUACCUCUGUCUGUCAGUCCGUCCGUCCGUCCGUCAGUCCGUCCGUCCCAUGAAACUUUCGUCACAUUUUUCUCAGGAACUACACAUCCACCCUUUCUGUAAUUUGGUAUCAACAUUUAUAUAUGUCAGCCAUACCGUGUGAUGCGUUUUCAGAUUCAUCACUUGACAACUUCCUGUUUACCGAACACUUGUCUGAUUUUACACAUGAUAGCCAAGUUGAAAAUUUUCGUCACAUUUUUCUCAGGAACUACAAUACAAGGAUUUCUGAAAUUUGGUUUCAGGAUUUAUAUAAGUCAGCUAUACCGUGUGAUGCGUUUUCAGAUUCAUCACUCGACAACUUCCUGUUUACCAAACACUUGUAUGAUUUUACACAUGAUAGCCAAGUUGAAAAUUUUCGUCACAUUUUUCUCAGGAACUACAAUACAAGGAUUUCUGAAAUUUGGUUUCAGGAUUUAUAUAAGUCAGC
rnacentral:lncRNA from 1 species